GUGAGGAAUAUUGGUCAAUGGGCGCUAGCCUGAACCAGCCAAGUAGCGUGAAGGAUGAAGGCUCUAUGGGUCGUAAACUUCUUUUAUAUAAGAAUAAAGUGCAGUAUGUAUACUGUUUUGUAUGUAUUAUAUGAAUAAGGAUCGGCUAACUCCGUGCCAGCAGCCGCGGUAAUACGGAGGAUCCGAGCGUUAUCCGGAUUUAUUGGGUUUAAAGGGAGCGUAGGUGGACUGGUAAGUCAGUUGUGAAAGUUUGCGGCUCAACCGUAAAAUUGCAGUUGAUACUGUCAGUCUUGAGUACAGUAGAGGUGGGCGGAAUUCGUGGUGUAGCGGUGAAAUGCUUAGAUAUCACGAAGAACUCCGAUUGCGAAGGCAGCUCACUGGACUGCAACUGACACUGAUGCUCGAAAGUGUGGGUAUCAAACAGGAUUAGAAACCCCAGUAGUCCC
rnacentral:rRNA from 1 species